CUGUGCAAUCUCAGCGCAGUCCCUGAGGGAGGCUGGAGCCCAGCCCUUGGGUAAAACCAAACCAGUGGUUUUAUCUUGAAUGGAGAGAACAGGUGGAAGUGCUGUCAGCCAGCGUGGGCAGCAGGAAUGGCAGGAAUGCUGCCCACAGGAGCCUGGGGACCUGUGGGAAGAGAAAAUGAAAGGAAUCUGGUUAUCCAAGACAUUUCCCCACUCGGUUUCCCUGAAGUCCUGUGCCCAGCAGUGACUGCAGCAGGCAAAGCAGCAAAAACCCAAUUACACCUAAAAUAUACACUGAAUCUGCUUAUCCAAGAAAUUUCCCCACUCGAAUUUCCUGAAGUCCUGGACCCAGACACCUGCAGAAACCCAAAAGGACAGAUGAGGGCUCCAAGGGCCAGAAACAGCAGGAGAGAACCCCUGCCUUCCCAUUUUCCAUGUUUUCCAUGUUUUUAUGGGCAGCAGCCAGCUGCAGAUGUUGGAGGCAGCAAACUCGUGGCUUACAGCAUUUCUCUUCCAGCAUUGCACACCCUGGAUGCUUGCCACUGAACUCUUGUGGGACAAGAGGAGGGACCUGGGGAAGGAGCAGAGCUGAUUCCAGAGCUGAUCCAAGGGGCUCUGCCCUGUCCCACCCUGCUCCCUGGCAGGGCAUCCCACGGACGUGGAGCCCUCCCAGGUCUGGCCAUGGAUGCACACCCAAAGCGGCUCCUUUGGCCCAGGGAUCACAGGGCCUCCAAUUCCUGCAUCACAGGGCUCUGCUUCUCCUCUGCCUGUGGAACCCCUCUCCUGUAAGCACAGACCUGGUGCUCGGUUUGUUUAUUUCUCUGUACAAACCUGGUGCUGGGUUUGUUUAUUUCUGGUGGGUUUGGUUAUUUCUGUGUUCCAUACCUCAGCUGAGGACAUUCUUUCCUCACCACAUUCCUGGCUGUGGACUCGAAGCUGUGCUGCCCGCACGCCUUGGGAGCGUUUUCCACGUGGAAAUGUGACAUUGCACUGAAUAAUUUGCAUUACCUGGCCCUUCCUUCCAGGAACCAGCAGGGCUGUGGGUGCUUUGGGUGGACAGUUUCCUUUUCGUGGCUUUAGCUUUGGCUUUGAGCACGUUGUGCAGGCACCUAAAGCUGUAAUUAAAUUAAUGCCAUCACAGGCAAUGCCUGGUGUUUCCACACAAGCAAAAACCCCAGAAUAUUUCCUUCUUCCACAGCACUCCUAGGGCUUUGCUGGGCCAAAUUACAAGUUUAUUUUUUAACUUGUAUUUUUUUUUAGCUUGUUCAAAGAGGUGGAGAAAGCAGCAGCACAUCAGCCUCUCCACCAGCUGUGAGCUGUGACCAUCCAGCCUUGUCUCAAUACUGCU
rnacentral:lncRNA from 1 species